rnacentral:lncRNA from 1 species
GCCUUUGCCAAGGAACCCAGAUAAAGGAAACUCUGUGUCUUCCUUGGUGAAGUAAACCAGUAUGGGCCAGAAAGAUGUGAGAAGCCAAUGUCAGGAGGAACCAUACUUCCUGCAUCCCCUCCUGAAUCAUCCGGUAAUAAGCUUCUAACAUGCAGAAAGCCCUGAAGAAAUACAGCAGAGAAGGAAGUGAAUGAGCCAACUGCUUUGGCUCCAAGCCCGAGAAACACCCUGCUUCAAGAAUAAAAUUGCACCUCUCAUGCCAACAGUUCAGCCUGUGAUCUGAGCGAGUAAAGCUCCAAAGCACAGAGACCUCCCCCAGAGCCAGUCUGCCAUCUUACCCCCAGGAAGGUCUUCUCCAUGCUGCAGCUGCUGAUGUUUCUGAAGUAUGAGCCCAACCUCAUCUUCCUCUUCUGAAAUGAUCACAACUCGCCAUGUCAAGAUCUAAGGUACCAACAAGCCCUUAAGUUGGAAACCAGAUAAAAUUUUCUAGGAUUGCAAUGUUUUAAGAUUCGCAUGUUUUUCUAAUAUGUA